UUUACACUUUCCAUUUGCGUGCAAUGCUUACGCCAAAAUCCAUUUUUGCGUGCAUAUGAUACGCCAAUUCUCCCCAUUCGCUUCUGUUGAGAACAGAUGCGUACAAAUACCACGCACCAACUCUACGGCGAUGACGUCAUGAACAAGACGCUCGGUUCCAACGCACAGUUCACCUGAUGAGGGUCCAUAUUGCAGCAAAUAAAUGCCCGGAGCUUCAACAUUUGGGAAGUGCUCCAUUGUGUGGAAAAACUCAACAGUGCAAAUAGAAGAUGCUCAAAGCUCUCUAUUGGUCAGUGUGGGAAACUGCUGGACCUGAAGUGCAGGAACAUAGCACAGAUAAAGGUGUUCUGGAGCCAAGCACGGGAAUGGGCCAAAAAAAAUCUUAAAAUCAAGCAAAAGCUUUUGCUUGCCAGUUUCACAGCACAUUGGACAUUUUCCAGUACAAUACGUGUGCAAGACAUGUGAAAACAAGCCAAAAGACCUGGCCCCCAGCUUGAGAACCACAGGAGAACAUAGAUGGUGACUGUGUCAUAAAGGAAGUCUACUAUUAGAUCUGUUGUCAGCUUGGUGGUGCAAGGAAAAAAAAACUUCUUCCCAUGAAACUGAGUUGUGUGGACAACAAUAAAUUUAGAAUAGAAUGAAAUGAGUAUAAUCUGAAAUUACGUUCACACAAUCUACAUUGUAGAAAUGCUGUACAAAACAAGAUGAAUUGAAAUGAGUGUGUAGAAGUCCAUUCAUUCAUUAAUUUUCCUCGGCUAAGUCUGAUUUAUCAGGGGUUUGCCACAGUGGAAUGAACCGCCAACUCCACUGGCAAAUGUUUUACGCAGCAGAUGCCCUUCUAGCUACAACCCAGUACUGGGAAACACCCAUACACACUUAUUGA